rnacentral:lncRNA from 1 species
UAAGGUUUUUGAUGAUUUGUUUUCUUGAAUGAAAUUCUAUGAGGGUCACAUAGGGGGAAGCUAAUGUUUUUCAUGUUUUCUUUGUUUUGCUCGAGGACUAGCAAAAGCUAAGUGCGGGAGUAUUUGAUAAGCUCAUAUUUAUAUAUAUAUUUUACAUCAAAUUCACUUGUCUUUUCUUAGUUAGUUGCUUAUAUUUUUGAGCUAUUUACUUUGUUUUUGUGUUUUGUGGGAUUUGUCAAGCAAAUAAAAGAAAAAUAGCACAAGUUGGAUAUUAAGUGACAAAUUCGUCAAAACUGCCUGUGCAGGUCAGCUGACUUUGGAAGCAAGUUUCGAAAAGCUCAGAAUGAAUUAGAGAAUGAACCUUAUAUACUUAGAAAUCUACGGAUGUCUAUUUUCUGGAGCAUUUCGCGGAUUGUUAAUAGCAUUUUUGUAGAAGAAGUUAUGGCCGUUUUAACACUGAAAGGUUUCCAAGACGCUGUGCAGUUUGUAA